UACGGGGGGAGCAAGCGUUGUUCGGAUUUACUGGGCGUAAAGGGCGCGUAGGCGGCCAGCGCAAGUCAGUUGUGAAAUCUCCGGGCUUAACUCGGAAAGGUCAACUGAUACUGCGCGGCUAGAGUGCAGAAGGGGCAACUGGAAUUCUCGGUGUAGCGGUGAAAUGCGUAGAUAUCUGGAGGAACACCGGUGGCGAAGGCGGCAUCCUGGACCGACACUGACGCUGAGGAGCGAAAGCCAGGGGAGCAAACAGG
rnacentral:rRNA from 1 species